UAACGAUUACGUUGUUUCUGACGCUGACUGCAAUUACAAAGGGUUUAAGGAGGUCCUACUGGCAGGCAAGCCUGCCGAGGAAACAAUGGGUACGCAAAAAGCAAGGGUAGGGUUCAGAGAGCAAGCUCGAUCCUUUCGGAAAGCUUGCCCCUUGGCCUUGUAUAGUUAAUGAUCCUUCCGCAGGUUCACCUACGGAAA
rnacentral:misc_RNA from 1 species